rnacentral:miRNA from 1 species
UCAACAAAUAUUUACUGGGAGCCAGCUCUGCUGUGCUAGGUACCAGGGAAAUAUUAAUCAGACAAUCCUGCCCUCAAGGAGCUCACAGUCUAG